rnacentral:rRNA from 1 species
GAUGAACGCUAGCGGCAGGCCUAACACAUGCAAGUCGAGGGGUACAUGGCAGCUUGCUGCCAUGGAGACCGGCGCACGGGUGCGUAACGCGUAUGCAACCUGCCCACCACAGGGGAAUAGCCCAGAGAAAUUUGGAUUAAUGCCCCAUGGCACCGCGAUCCCACAUGGGGAUGCGGUUAAAGCUCCGGCGGUGGUGGAUGGGCAUGCGUCCCAUUAGCUAGUUGGUGCGGUAACGGCGCACCAAGGCGACGAUGGGUAGGGGCCCUGAGAGGGGGGUCCCCCACACUGGUACUGAGACACGGACCAG